rnacentral:rRNA from 1 species
GGGCCCGCACAAGCGGUGGAGUAUGUGGUUUAAUUCGAUGCAACGCGAAGAACCUUACCAGGGUUUGACAUCCUGCGAAUCUCUUGGAAACGAGAGAGUGCCUUCGGGAACGCAGUGACAGGUGGUGCAUGGCUGUCGUCAGCUCGUGUCGUGAGAUGUUGGGUUAAGUCCCGCAACGAGCGCAACCCACGUCGUUAGUUGCCAGCAUUUAGUUGGGCACUCUAGCGAGACCGCCGGUGAUAAACCGGAGGAAGGUGUGGAUGACGUCAAGUCAUCAUGCCCCUUACAUCCUGGGCUACACACGUACUACAAUGCUACGGACAAAGAGUUGCGAGCUUGUAAAAGUCAGCUAA